rnacentral:rRNA from 1 species
UGCAGUCGAACGGCAGCACGGACUUCGGUCUGGUGGCGAGUGGCGAACGGGUGAGUAAUGUAUCGGAACGUGCCCAGUAGCGGGGGAUAACUACGCGAAAGCGUAGCUAAUACCGCAUACGCCCUACGGGGGAAAGCAGGGGAUCGCAAGACCUUGCACUAUUGGAGCGGCCGAUAUCGGAUUAGCUAGUUGGUGGGGUAACGGCUCACCAAGGCGACGAUCCGUAGCUGGUUUGAGAGGACGACCAGCCACACUGGGACUGAGACACGGCCCAGACUCCUACGGGAGGCAGCAGUGGGGAAUUUUGGACAAUGGGGGAAACCCUGAUCCAGCCAUCCCGCGUGUGCGAUGAAGGCCUUCGGGUUGUAAAGCACUUUUGGCAGGAAAGAAACGUCGCGGGUUAAUACCCCGCGGAACUGACGGUACCUGCAGAAUAAGCACCGGCUAACUACGUGC